GGUCAAGGUGCUAUAGAAUGUCCUGGAUGUAAGGGUACAGGAAAGAAUAAAAAGAAUGGGAAUAUCUUUGAGCGGUGGAAAUGCUUUGAUUGCCAAGGAUUUGGAUUGAAGAGUUGCCCUGUUUGUGGUAAAGGGGGCCUCACACCAGAACAACGGGGUGAAAGAUGAUGUCCCAGUGUAAGGAAGCUGACAUGGUACUCAACUCAAGUACUAUUGAUUUUGUACAUGAAGCUCUAUGAAAAUAUGAACUUUGGCUAGGAAAGCGUGUUUGUAUAAAGGUGAUAUGACAAGAAAUUCAAUUCAAGUUUUAUUUUACUUUUUGUGGAUUUUCUUGCAAGUGACUAUUACACACUUGUUGAUACAGAUUACAGAAGACUUUCCAUGUAAAUGAAUUCACUUACAUCUGUCCAACAAAUAAAAAAAAAAAUUAUUUACCCGCU